rnacentral:tRNA from 1 species
UGCAUCGGCUGGGAAUCGAACCCGGGCCGCCCGCGUGGCGGGCGAGCAUUCUACCACUGAACCGCCGAUGGC